UGUGUGUCUGUUGUAGGACCGAGGAUUCUUCUGCAAAUUAAACUGACUACCAUUAGAUUUGACACAGUGCUGAAUGGUUUGCAACACGGACUUGCACAUCUCUGCAAAUGAGAGCAGAACGUUUUUCCUGCAGAAUCAAUUUACAAGAACAGAUCAGAGAGAAUUGGAGGAGGAACGGUACAAAGAGACUGAGAGAAGGAUGGUGCAGAUAAGGAGAGAGAAGAAACUGGUAUAUCAAAAGAUGGAAAGAAGAAAAGGAUAAAGAUAAGCAAGGCUAAGGGAUGCACAAAGGGGAACUGUAAAAGGAGAAGAGGGCAUGGGGAAAGACAGGCAGACAGAGGAGGGUGUUCAUGAAUGCGUGUAGGAGUUACUGAGAAAAGACUCGUGCAUAGCAGAAGCAGAGGAAGAUGCACGAUGGAUGCCUGUACUGGGGGAGGGGAGCAGCAGUGAAUACACACAGCAGGAGGGGGAGAGAGAUAGAUGGCAAACGUAUAUAGGAGUAGUGGGGAGAAAUAGUGGAUGUACACAGCAGGGAGAGAGCAAGUGUGAGAGAGACACAACAGAUGCACACAGCAGGGGAGAGAAAUGCAUAGAAGGGGAAAGAAGCACAGGGAAAGUAUCAAGCAACCUUAAUAAAAUCAAACAAUAAAAUAAUAAGAAAUCAUAAAAUUCAUUAUUUGAACAUUCAUUGUUAUUUAACACAGGAAAUCAAGAGACUUUGAAGAAAAUAUACAUUAGUUAAAAAAUUUUAAGCACUUUAAAAGUUAAUGUUUGUUUUGAAAUAAGACUAUUCUUGACAUAAUGGAUUCCUCUUUGCAUUUGCAGUGAAGCAGAUGUCUGCUUUCUGUCUCUGACAGGGGACCCAAUCCAUUGCUUUUUGACGUCAAUAGCACUGUGGCUUUUUCAAGGGCAUGCAUAUAUCUUGUCAAUGUGGCUUAACAAGCCCACAUCACUUCUCUGCUCUGGUCUUGCACAGGACCAUGUAGUCUGCAAACACCAUUACCUCUUUUUCCUGUCAACAAGCAGAAGAAAAAUAUUGGAUUCUCACAUGUGAUGAAACACCAGAAGGAAGAAAUGGAGAG